UGGGGAAUCUUAGACAAUGGGGGAAACCCUGAUCUAGCCAUGCCGCGUGAGCGAUGAAGGCCUUAGGGUUGUAAAGCUCUUUCAGCUGGGAAGAUAAUGACGGUACCAGCAGAAGAAGCCCCGGCUAACUCCGUGCCAGCAGCCGCGGUAAUACGGAGGGGGCUAGCGUUGUUCGGAAUUACUGGGCGUAAAGCGCACGUAGGCGGAUUAGUCAGUCAGAGGUGAAAUCCCAGGGCUCAACCCUGGAACUGCCUUUGAUACUGCUAGUCUUGAGGUCGAGAGAGGUGAGUGGAAUUCCGAGUGUAGAGGUGAAAUUCGUAGAUAUUCGGAGGAACACCAGUGGCGAAGGCGGCUCACUGGCUCGAUACUGACGCUGAGGUGCGAAAGCGUGGGGGAGCAAACAGGAUUAGAUACCCUGGUAGUCCACGCCGUAAACGAUGAUGCCAGUCGUNGGGUUGCAUGCAAUUCGGUGACACACCUAACGGNUUAACUUCCGCCUGGGGAGUACGGUCGCAAGAUUAAACUCAAUGAAUUGACGGGGUCAUAGCUGUUUCCUG
rnacentral:rRNA from 1 species